GAUGAACGCUGGCGGCGUGCCUAAUACAUGCAAGUCGAGCGAACAGACGAGGAGCUUGCUCCUCUGACGUUAGCGGCGGACGGUUGAGUAACACGUGGAUAACCUACCUAUAAGACUGGGAUAACUUCGUGAUACCGGAUCUAAUACCGGAUAAUAUAUUGAACCGCAUGGUUCAAUUGUUAAAGACGGUUUUGCUUUCAUUUAUUGAUGGAUUCGCGCCGCAUUAGCUAGUUGGUAAGGUAACGGCCUACCAAGGCAACGAUGCGUAGCCGACCUGAGAGGGUGAUCGGCCACACUGGAACUGAGACACGGUCCAGACUCCUACGGGAGGCAGAAGUAGGGAAUCUUCAGAAAUGGGCGAAAGCCUGACGGAGCAACGCCGCGUGAGUGAGGAAGAUGUUCGGAUCGUAAAACUCUGUUAUUAGGGAAGAACAAAUGUGUAAGUAACGAUGCACGUAUUGACGGUACCUAAUCAGAAAGCCACGGCUAACUACGUG
rnacentral:rRNA from 1 species